CCUACGGGAGGCAGCAGUGAGGAAUAUUGGUCAAUGGGCGCUAGCCUGAACCAGCCAAGUAGCGUGAAGGAUGACUGCCCUAUGGGUUGUAAACUUCUUUUAUAUGGGAAUAAAGUGCAGUAUGUAUACUGCUUUGCAUGUACCUUAUGAAUAAGGAUCGGCUAACUACGUGCCAGCAGCCGCGGUAAUACGUAGGGAGCAAGCGUUAUCCGGAUUUACUGGGUGUAAAGGGCGCGUAGGCGGGAUGGCAAGUCAGAUGUGAAAUCCAGGGGCUCAACCCCUGAACUGCAUUUGAAACUGUCGUUCUUGAGUACUGGAGAGGUUGACGGAAUUCCUAGUGUAGCGGUGAAAUGCGUAGAUAUUAGGAGGAACACCAGUGGCGAAGGCGGUCAACUGGACAGCAACUGACGCUGAGGCGCGAAAGCGUGGGGAGCAAACAGGAUUAGAUACCCGAGUAGUC
rnacentral:rRNA from 1 species